rnacentral:rRNA from 1 species
GCAUAUCAAUAAGCGGAGGAAAAAGAAACUAACAAGAUUCCCCUAGUAACGGCGAGUGAAGCGGGAAGAGCACAAAUUUAAAAUCUACCUGGUUUCCAGAUCGAGUUGUAAUUUGAAGAUACGUUUUUGAUGUUCUGGGUUGGACUAAAUCCUUUGGGAUAAGGUAUCAUAGAGGGUGAGAAUCCCGUAUAUACCAACCGUAGGGAUGUUAUUAAAUACGUUUCUAAGAGUCGAGUUGUUUGGGAAUGCAGCUCUAAAUGGGUGGUAAAUUUCACCUAAUGCUAAAUAUAAGCGAGAGACCGAUAGUGAACAAGUACAGUGAUGGAAAGAUGAAAAGAACUUUGAAAAGAGAGUUAAAUAGUACGUGAAAUUGUUGAAAGGGAAACGAUUGAAGUCAGUCAUGCCGGUGGGAAUCAACUUAGGGGAAACUCUAGGUGCACUUCUUCGCUUGGCAGGUCAACGUCGAUUUUGAAUGUCAUAAAAUAAUUGGGGGAAGGUAGCUCCUUCAGGAGUGUUAUAGCCCUUGAUAGAUGUGAUGUUUGGGGUCGAGGAUUGCAACGGAUACCCUCUAGGGCUAGCCGCCUGAUCUCUAAUCGGUGUUGGGUUACGGAUAGCAUGCUGACCGUGAUCUAAUUACUGGUUAAAAGGUUAGAGCGUGCAUAAAUUCGUUAAGAACGUUGACGUAAUGGCUUUAAACGAC